UCUGUAGUAAACACUUCAACAUGAACAAGUCUUUCCUUCUCUUCUUGGUACUCGCUGUCAUUGCGAUGUCCAACGUCAUGUUUGUAGCAGCGAACUGCGAUGAGAAUGACUGCGAUGGUGAUGGUGACGGCUCCGGAAAAUUGGUUGACCUUGGUUUAUGCCUCAACGUAUUGUAAUCGAUAUUUCAUCAAAUCGAUUAUUACUGUUCAUUUAUUUCUUUAUGUAUAUUUGGC